rfam:Desulfobacteraceae bacterium 4572_123 ex4572_123_scaffold_6362, whole genome shotgun sequence.
UAGGUUGGCGUCGGAGACCCUUUUGGCAUGUCAACCGCCCAUAUCAUGGCAUCGGGAAUGUGUGGCAUUCGAACCGCCGGAGAUCUGGUGGCCUGGAUGC